UACGAAGGGGGCUAGCGUUGUUCGGAAUCACUGGGCGUAAAGCGCACGCAGGCGGAUUGAUAAGUCAGGGGUGAAAUCCCGGAGCUCAACUUCGGAACUGCCUCUGAUACAGCACGUCUUGAGUCCGGAAGAGGUGGGUGGAAUUCCUAGUGUAGAGGUGAAAUUCGUAGAUAUUAGGAAGAACACCGGUGGCGAAGGCGGCCCACUGGUCCGGUACUGACGCUGAGGUGCGAAAGCGUGGGGAGCAAACAGG
rnacentral:rRNA from 1 species